rnacentral:rRNA from 1 species
AUUGAACGCUGGCGGCAGGCCUAACACAUGCAAGUCGAACGAGUGGCGGACGGGUGAGUAAUGUCUGGGAAACUGCCUGAUGGAGGGGGAUAACUACUGGAAACGGUAGCUAAUCCCGCAUACCAUCAGAUGUUCCCAGAUGGGAUUCGCUAGUUGGUGGGGUAACGGCUCACCAAGGCGACGAUCCCUAGCUGGUCUGAGAGGAUGACUAGCCACACGGGAACUGAGACACGGUCCAGACGCCUACGGGAGGCAGCAGUGGGGAAUAGUGCACAAUGGGCGGAAGCCUGAUGCAGCCAUGCCGAGUGUAUGAAGAAGGCGUUCGGGUUGUAAAGUACGUUCAGCGGGGAGGCGUUACCCGCAGAAGAAGCACCGGCUAACUCCGUGCCAGCAGCCGCGGUAAUUC